AAAAGUUUCCUUCUUUGCGUUCUCUUAUGAUUCGGAACAUUAAAGCAAUCCGAAAUUGGGUCAUUGUUGCUUGCUUGGAAAUCAGAUUCAUCUCCUCCCUCAAUUCCUCACAUUAUUGUUUAAUAAUGGGGAAUCUUAGUCUCACACUUGUUUGUUCCUCUCUUAUGCGCUGUUGAUCCAUGCUUAUCUUCGCCAUGUUUCGCUUCAAACAUAGGAUCUUCUGCUUCAGCUGCUCAUCGCCCAUUCCACGAC
rnacentral:lncRNA from 1 species